GAAACACUGGUUCUCUUACGAUCACCGAAGUUAAGCAACGUUGAGCCUGGUCAGUACCAAAAUGGGUGACCGCUUGAGAAUACUAGGUGCUGU